CAGGAGAGGGUUGUCACUGUUAUUCAUGACAACAUUUUGAAAUGCAGAGCUGUCACAGAAAGUACAGCAUAAGCACUGACAAAAGGCAUCGAAGGAGCAGGUGUUUAACACAGAGAUUGACAGUUUACCAACUUUAACAGGCUGAUGCAUGUUUCCAUUUUUUAAUAGUCCCACUUUCACUCUUUUGGCCCCAGAUGAUGAAUCUGCAUGGAGCCAUUCAGUGCAGGAACUCAGAGCAAAUCUGCAUAUUUCCUUCGAUGAAGGAAAGGUGCCGAGAAAUGAAGCGAUCCACUCAAAUGGGCAAGUUCUCAUGUUUGAACAGGCCAUGUUUUACAUUUUUGAAUUCGGCUUCAACAUUGGCUGAGCUUGCUGUGAGACUGGUGCUUUUGAAGAGGGGAACCAUUAUUCCUGUCCACAGUGGUUGCCAGGUUUGGAAGGUGACUUGGCUCGGGAUCUCCUAUAUCCAUCAACUCUGAUGCCUUUGCUGACCUCCAUACAGAUGGUUCCAUCCUGCCCUCACACAACUCUUCUGAAAUCUGUGCACGAAGGGUUCCUGACAUGAAUCUUUUGGACUGGCCAGUGUGCAGGGAGAUGUCGGCGCCUUCAAUGGAACACUGGAGCACCAUUGGGCUGUUGAUCGUUGGCUCUCUGUCACAUGUCAUUUUAACAUGACCUUGACACUCUUUACAGA